AGCCUUUUCCUCCAUUUUCACUGACCCAUUGGUGUCGAAAAGUUGCUUCUCUUCUUAUUCGUUCAAGCUCUGAUGUCUCUCCAUACCAAAGGUAUCAUAGACUUCAACUCUUAUCCAUCUAUGAAAACUCGCCUCAAUUAGGAGAUUGGAAAGGACUUCGUUCAACUUUAUCUUAGAUGAAUUUGAUGAGUACUUUCAACUCUUAUUUUUUGCCUUGUAUUUUGUGUGAGCCUGAUCUUUCGUCUUUUUCAUUUUAAUUGGCAGAUUUGCCUUUUAUGAGUUGUGAUAUCUAUCUUUUUUUUAUUUUACAAGCCAUCUUUAUCUGGGAACUUUCAUUCUUCCGAUGAGGUACGUCUUUUUUUUAAAUAAAUUGUACCAUCUUUAUACCUUUAAAAGUUUUUAAAGUUUUUAUGUUGUUUUAAUGUAUAUCCCAAAUUCCUGUGAUGCUGUUAUUGAUUGUGUAGUUCUUGAUAUUUGUAGUAUAAUCUGACAAUCGGUAUAUCUUUCUUCUUGUGAAUUGUACUGCUUUUGUGGCAUAUCAUGUUUAGAUUUGAAAUGAUAUGUUUCCUUCAUAGUUGCUCUCUUAUGAAAUUGGUCUUGUCUAAUCCUAAGAGAUGUAAUUUGUUAUUUAUCAAUAUUUAGAAUCUUUUUAGCGGUAAUUAGUGACAGCAAAAUUGUUAAAAUUGAGUCUAUUCGAACUAUCCAAAGCUCCUAACCUCAUUUUUAUCAAGCUAGCAUAAAUAUUUUUCUAUUAUUGAAGAGAAUUAGAAUUCGUGAAUUUAUUUGGGAAACAAAAUUACGAGUAAGAAAUUAAUAGAUUAGCUAGUUGUGGUAAUGUUAGUUAUGUUUGGUAAAGUUUUUCUUUGAAGAUUAAUAAAGUUAAGUACCAAAAAAUAUAUUAGUAUUUCUUUCAAAAUAAAAAUUUUCUUAAUUAUAAUUUUUUAAAAAUAAAUUUAAUUUAAUCUAAGUCGUGGAAUGAAAGAACUUCAUGAAUUUUUUAUUUUAUUUAUAAUUAAUUAAACUUGAAAUUGAUUUUAUGUUACAUUUUUCAUACGCAUAUUCGUCUCAGGUCCAAGGUUUAUAAUACACAUUUUAAAAAAUUCUCUUCCUCGUAACUUGCUUACAAUAAUUUUAUAUUUAUUAGUUUACAGUUUUGGUAUUGUUAAAUAUUCUUUUGACUUUUUAAUUGUCAGUAUUUAAAUGACUUACUUUGUUAGAAGUGUGAAGCUUGCGACUUUCUCAAUUUUAAAAAGUAAAAUAUAUCCUGUUCAAUUUGGUGAAUUCAUACAAUGAUUUCACCUUUUGUUAGUUUGAUCUUUAUAUUUUUUUAUCAUUAACUACAUAGUCUAUGCCUCUUUUCAGACAAAUUAGAACAUUUGUACAAGUCCUAGGAAGAGUAAGCAUGUUAAUAGACAUCAUUAAAUUCUUUACUAGCUCCGAAGUAAUGAAAUAUUACCAUUUAUAGGUACAUAUAAUUACAAAACUUAAAAAUGAAUUGAAAUGAAUCUUUGAUAAUAUGUAUAUUUUUAUUUAUACGAUUAAGGUCAGUUGCAGAAUUUAAUAGAAUGGAAGAAACUUGUUAAGUUUAAACUAUACUUUUUAUGUGUCUCAAGAAAGUAUUUAUUUUCCAUUCAAUUGAGUUUUAUUCUUAUAGUAAACUGUUGUGCUCACCUUGAUGUUGAGUAUGGGUCUCAAAUUCAACAAUCGAUAGUCCAUGUGUUUCCUAAUCUAUGUAUCAAACACAUAAUUUAAACAAUCUAAAAAUACUAAAUUUUAUAACUUGACUUGCUUCUUGAUGCCUAAGUUGAAAGCAAGUGACUCACAGUGGUCAAGCUUUUGAACUGUGGAUAUGAAGGCAUUGAUGUGAUGAUCGAGAUAAAGAUAAAAACUGUAAAAUCUCAAACACAUGAUUUAUACAUUAACAAUCUGAUACUUAUUUGUUUAUAUUAAGUUUCUGAUAACUCUAGUCAUACGAGAGUCGCGAGGAACUUAAUAUAAGUAGUCAAGCUAAUGCAUAAAUUGUGUUUGAGAAGCCAUUGUUUUUAGGUUUAUGUCAAUUGUCACAUCAACGCCUUCAUAUAUACAAUCCUUCGAAGUUUCAUCAUUUUGAGUCAUUUCCUUUCAACCACUUAAGCACGUGAAGCAAAUUUAUAAGAUUUAGUAUGUUUGAUUGGUUAAUUGGUGUGUUCGAUAUGCUGUUUGAAUAAAAAGGACUCCAAUUAUUGACUUUGAAAUCCAUCUUCAACAACGUGAAAACUUUAAUUUGAUUAUGAAAAUAAAACUCAAUUAAAAAAAAAGUAAAUCUUUUUUCAAGACAAAAUAAAGUAUAGUCUAGACUUAAAAGGUUCUCUUUUGUUUAUUUGAGAUCUAGCAAUUAGUCUUAACCAUACAAAUAAAAAGAUAAACAUUAUUCGAUAUACGGUCUAGUUCAUUUUAAAUUUUGCGAAUAUAUAAGAUUAGGAUUAGGUGCAGAAAUUUUAAUAGAAUAGAAGAAACUUGUUAAGUCUAAACUAUACUUUUUAUCUGUCUCAAGAAAGUAUUCAUUUUCCAUUCAAUUGAGUUUCAUUCUUAUAGUAGACUGUUGUGCCACCUUGAUGUUGAGGAUGAGUCUCAAAUACAACAAUUGAUAGUCCAUGCGUUUCCUAAUCUGUGUAUCAAACACAUAAUUUAAACAAUCUAAACACACUAAAUUUUAUAACUUGACUUGCUUCUUCAUGCUUAAGUUGUUGAAAGUACGUGACUCACAGUGAUCAAGCUUUUGAACUGUGGAUAUGAAAGCAUUAAUGUGUGAUUUGAACUGUGGAUAUGAAAGCAUUAAUGUGUGAUUGAGAUAAACGUGAAAACAGUAAAAUCUCAAACACACGAUCUGUACAUUAUCAAUCAGAUACUUAUUUAUUUAUAUUAAGUUUCUGACAGCUCUAGUCAUACAAGAGUUGUGAGGAACUUAAUAUAAGAAGUCAAGCUAAUGCAUAAAUUGUGUGUUUGAGAAGCCAUUGUUUUCAGUUUUAUGCCAAUUAUCACAUCAAUACCUUCAUAUAUACGAUCCUCCGAAGCUUCACCAUUUUGAGUCAUUUCCUUUCAACAACUUAAGCACCUAAAGCAAAGUUAUAGAUUUAGUAUGUUUGAUUGGUUAAUUUAUAUGUUCAAUAUGCAGAUUGGAUAAAAAGGGCUCCAAUUAUUGACUUUGAAAUCCAUCUUCAACAACAACAUGAAAACUUUAAUUGACUAUGAAAAUAAAACUUAAUUAAAGAAAAAGUAAAUUUUUUUUCAAGACGAAUAAAGUAUAGUCUAGACUUAUAAGGUUUCCGUCGUUUUAUUCGAGAUCUAGCAAUUAGUCUUAACCAUACAAAUAAAAAGAUAAACAUAAUUCGAGAUACGGUUUAGUUCAAUUUAAAUUUUGUGAAUAUUUAUUUAUUAAUGCAUUCACAAAUAAUAAGUAGAAACAUGAAAAUCUGAUUAAUAAUAUAAAGAAAAAAAAAAAGAUUUUACCAAUCUCUUUUUAGGACUUAUAUAUGUAUUUUAUCUAGUAUGAAAUUCGGUACAACAUAUGCAACUUAUAGUUAAAGUACAUAUAUCGAACUAAAAAACUCCAAAAUAAUCGUAGGAAUUCAUAAUUCAAACAUAAUAAAUUUUAUUUUUAAAAUUAAUAAAGUUGCAAAAUCAGCACAACGAACAAGCAAAUAACAGUUAAGACUCCAUAAUUUUCCAUCAUGGUUAAUAUUUAAAAUAAUUAUUGUACAUAAUUACUUUUUUCUUUAAUUAUUUUUUUAAUAUGGUCCUCAUAUACAAAUAAAAGUAGUGUAUAUACUAUUUUUAAUUAAAAGAAAAAUUUUCUCUCUCACAUAAUUGGCUUACUUUCUUCUGUCGCCUCUUUCACCUAAUUAAGAGCAAAGGUUUUUGCCUCACAACUCUCACCUAAAAGUUGCAUACAUAAUUAUUGUUUUUUGUUGAGUGUCGGAUCUUCUAACUUCUUCUUCAUUAGUUUGUCUUUAAUUUUAGUUCAAUUUCUCCAUAUUUACAGUGUUGAUUAGGAUUUCAAGUAAUUUUUACGCUUGAUUAAAAUGUCUGACAAAACUUAAUUUUAAAAUAUUUCUUCAUAUGUAUUUUUAUGUAUACAUAUGAAUGUAUUGAAUGUAUUUUCUUGAUGUAUAUAUGCAUACUUUUGUAUAAAUGUAUAUGUAUAAGUUUUUUCUAUGUUGGUAUACAUAUACAUAUGUUGUAACGUCCUGUGGCUACCAUUGAUAUUACAUAAUACUUAGGCUUGUAUGUAGCCCGAGCUAACACGUGGUACCUGGCAUAGCACUAAAUGUAUGUUGUAAAAAAUUAAAACCAUGAACGGAAAGUUGAUACUAAUUUAAAAAUUGAAAACAUUAACAUAUCAGUGCGAGGUCGUGUUGAUCAACAGUUGCCAUGAUCAAGCUUAAAUUUAUUAAACUCAAUAAUUGAACUAGUGACUUAACUUACUUUCGAACAUCUCAAGCAUUGAUACUACUCAUCUCGUGAGUCAUAAUUCACGCCAACUAUAGGAGAGCUAGAAUAUGAAAGAUAAAAAGAUUUCACAAAUGACCGGGAGGGUCAUUACAUUAGACACCAAUUAAACAAUUGUUCAUCCCCAAACAGGUAAACAAGAUACAAAAGGGAAACAAGAAGUUACCUGAAUCAACAAAAAGAUGUGAAUACUUGCUACGCAUGUCUACUUCAGUCUCCCAAGUGGCCUCCUCAAUAGGACGGUUCUUCCACUGGACCUUCACAGACGCAAUUUCCUUAGUCCUCAACCUACGGACAUCUCUAUCAAGAAUAGCAACAGGUUCCUCUUCAUAAGAGAGGUUUUCAUCUAACAAGAUUGAAUCCCAAUGAAUUAUAUAGUUACCAUCACCAUCAAACUUCUAUAACAUAGAUACAUUAAAUACAAGGUGCACUCCCGAUAAACUCGAAGGUAAUGCCAAUCUAAAGGCCAAAGGCCUCACACACUGAAGAAUCUCAAACGGUCUAAUAUAUCUAGGAUUGAGCUUACCUCACUUUCCAGAAUGCAUGAUGGUUGAAACUUUGAGCAACACUUGCUCACCCUUCAUAAAGUGCAUAUCUCUAACUUUUUAAUCCACAUACUCCUUUUGCCUACUUUGAUCCGCUAUAAGUUUCUCCUGAUGAACCUGUCUUUCUCUAACGAGUCCCUCAAUAGAUCAAUACCCCAUGAUCUCACCUCAAAUACAUCAAACCACCCAAUGGGAGAUCUAUACUUCCCUCCAUACAAAGCCUCAAACAGCGCCAUAUCGAUACUCAAAUGAUAACUAUUAUUAUAUGCAAACUCGGUCAAAGGUAGAAAUUGAUCCCAAUGACCUCCGAAAUCCAUUACACACGCACGAAACAUAUCCUCCAACACCUGAAUCGUUCACUCAGACUGUCCAUCGGUCUGAGGGUGAAAAGUUGUACUAAGGUACAACCUUGUACCCAAAUCCUCAUGCAACUUCUUCUAAAAUAUAUAGGUAAAUUAAGUACCCCUAUCUGAGAUAAUAGAAACUGGUACCCCAUGCAACCAAACAAUCUCCUUAAAAUAAAUCUUGACCAACUUUUUUGCAUUAUAAGUCACCUUAACUGGAAUGAAAUGUGCAGACUUCAUCAACCUAUCCAAAAUAACCUAUAUCAAAUCAUACUUUCCCAAAGUCUUGGGAAGACCAAUAACAAAAUCCAUAGUUAUCCUCUCCCAUUUCCAUUCAGGAAUGGGCAUCCUUUGAAGACUACCACCAGGCUUCUGAUGCUCGUACUUUAUUUGUCUCUGGCAUUUAACAAUAAAAUCAACUAUGUCACGCUUCAUCUGAACCCACCAGUAAUGCUGCCUCAAAUCAUGGUACAUCUUGGUUGUACCAGGAUGUUUAGAAUACUUCGAACAAUGAGGCUCAAUUAGAAUAGUAGGAAUCAAAUCAUCAACACGAAGCACACAAACUCGCUCCUUAAUCAGCAACACACCGUCACUAUCAAGAAUGACCUCCUUGGCCUCACCCUGCAAAACCUUAUCACGAAUCUUGCUCAACUUAGAAUCCUCAAAUUGGAUCAGGAAAUGUGGACCUUGCCUCAAUGCUAACUAGAAUUUCUCCUCUCUCAUUCACCUCAAGCCGAGCAAACUUGUUAGCUAAAGUCUGAAUCUUUCUAAACAAUGGACGCCUAAUGGCAUUUAAAUAAGCCAAACUACCCACACUUGUUGACUUUCUGCUCAAUGCAUCAGCAACCACAUUAGCCUUCUCCGGAUGGUAGAGAAUGGUGAUAUCAUAAUUUUUAAGAAACUCCAUCCAUCUAUAUUGUCUCAAAUUCAAAUCCCUCUACGUGAAUACAUACUGUAAACUACGGUGAUCAAUGAACACUUCACAACAAACCCCAUACAAGUGAUGCCUCCAUAUCUUAAAAGCAAAAACCACAACAACUAACUCCAAAUCAUGAGCGGGAUAAUUGUUCUCAUUAGGUUCAAAUUUCCUUGAAGCGUAAGCAACAACAUUCCUUUCCUGCAUUAACACAAAACCUAAACCAAAACGUGAGAUAUCAUAAUAAAUAAUAAAAUCAUUAACCUCUACCGACAAGGAAAGAAUAGGAGUGGUAGUCAAUAAGGUCUUAAUCUUUUGCAAUCUCUCCUGACACUCAUCAGACUAAAUCAAAGGUACAUCCUUCUGAGUCAACCGCAUCAUAUGAGUAGCAAUAGAAGCAAACCCCUUCGCGAACCUGCGGUAAUAACUCACUAAGACAACAAAUCUAUGAAUCUCCAUCACUGAAGUAGGCCUAGCCCAAUUCUUAACCACUUCAAUCUUCUGUGGGUCUACCAUCACCCCUUCCUUCGAAACCACAUACUUGAAAAAGGAUACAGAAGCCAACAAGAACCCACACUUAGAAAACUUUGCAUAAAGUUUUUUCUCUUUUAACAAACCCAAAACAAUUCUUAAGAGAUUCUCAUGUUCCUUUUCACUCUUAGAAUAAACUAGAAUAUCAUCAAUAAAGAUAAUCACGAAAGAAUUCAAGUAGGGUUUAAAUAUCCUAUUCAUCAAACUCAUAAAAGCGCUGAGGUAUUAGCCAUCCCAAAAGACAUCACAAGAAACUCAUCAUGCCCAUACCUAGUUCGGAAAGCAGUCUUAGGAAUAUCGUCAGACCAAAUCUUAAGUUGAUGAUACCCGGACCUCAAAUCAAUCUUAGAAAAUAUGGAUGCACCCAGCAACUGGUUAAAUAAAUCAUUGAUAUGGGGCAAAGGAUACUUGUUAUGGAUUGUAACUUUGUUCAAAUGCCUGGAGUCUAUACACAUACGAAGAUAACAAAUAAAUUAUCUUUUUUUUUGUAGAAUUUUAUUGAGUUUUUACCAUUAUUAGUUUGGUUAAUUGCCAAACUAAUGCUAAUUUAGCCGUUACAUCCCUUAAAUUAUGCGAAUUAGUUUAAAUAUUAAAUGUAUCUGUAUGAUGUAUCUCACAUUAGUUAUAUGUAUCAUCAAAGCUAAAAGGUAGGAUUUUCUGAAAUUUAGAAAAUAAUUGGGAUUUUAGAUAAAUAGCAGUAAACAUGUUGUUAUAUAGAUAAUUUUUAUAAAAAAUAUAAGAUAUAUAAUAUUAGAUUAUUUAUUGCAAAUCAUAGCAAUAUUUCUUAAAUUGCAAUACGUAACAAAAGCUUUUUACAAAAAAAAUAGCAAAAUAGUAAAAAAAAAAUAUUAUUUUUUAUUUAUUAAAAGUAUUUCCUAAAAAAGAGGUAAGUCAAUAAAGCAUAUCAUUCACCUCUAAUUUCUACCUAAAAAUGAUUUUUUCUUGAUUUUCAAAUUAAUAACGCGUCUUAUUCUUCUUAGUCUAUUCUUCUUCGUCGUCGUCUUUUUUUUUCUUCAACAAAUCUGAAUUCAUAUGUUGAACGCAACACAAAAUCACCUAAUUGUUUUAAUCUUAAAAGACGAAAAAAAUCAUUAAAAUACAGAUUUACUAAUCAUAAUUACAUCGAAAGUUAUUUAAAAAAAAAAUCAAAGAACAGUACUACUUUUUGCAUGAUGGAAGGUGAUAGUUUACAUUCUAUGGAAAUUGGUAUUAGAUUAGAGUAAAAAUCUUGAGUUGAAAUUAUUUAUUGAUUAUGUUUGAUGAAUGUAGAAUAUGGUUCAAUUAACAUUCACAUUGAUAUGGAAGUUGGUUCUAUGCAAUUUUUAUAAGUUCUUAAAUAUUCAGUAUUUGAAAUGAGUAUACAAAUUGAUAUCUAUGUCAACAACAAACUUUAUAACUAUUAAUUGAAUUUAAAAUUGUAUCAAGUUUGAGGUUUCAAAUUAAUAUGAAAACUGAUUAUUUUUAAUUUUUACAUGCUACUAAAUGAUUUAAUAUAGAAAAUCAGUAUACAAGCUGAUAUUCACAUCCUCAACAAGAAUUGCAAAAUUGAUAUUAAAUUGGUGCUGUUCAAUUUUUAUUUGUACCUAAAUAAUGUAGUGUAUGUUGUACGUAUAAAAACUGAUGUCAGUACUUCUAUAUCAAUUCGUACACAAGAUCUUUUGUGUAUGAAUUAUGUAUAAAUUGGAAGCAAAUUUAUUUCAGUUUUAGAAUUGUACCAAUUUUUAGGGUACAAAUUUUGAUAGGUGAAUUUACUUCGUAGUAAUUUUUUUCUUUAAUAAAUAGAAAGAUCACCAUGCGGAAAGAGAAAAAAAUAUUCUUUUUCUUUUUUUCUUGAAUGGACUCCUUAAUUUUAGUCCAUUUGUGUAUAUCUUACUUAAAAUAUGGGGACUACUUAAGAAUGAAUUAAAAAUAAAAAAAAAAUAUUUCUAAUAAUAUUUUAUAAAAACUGCUAUAACUUGCAAUUAAAAACUUAUAACCUGCAAUAAACCUUCUUAAAAGUAUAUAUAGGAUAAUUUUCUCUAGAAUUAAUUACUUGGAUGAGUACAUUUUAAUAAAUAAUUACUUUUGAUUACACACUUUUUAUUUUGAGGAAAAAAAACAACAUAAAUGUACAUUAUAAGAUUAGUAUUACAAUUCAUAACAAAUUAUUUUUACUUGUCAAUACUUGAAAACAAAAUCUAUCCAAAUUUAACAAAACGAUUAAAAAAAAAGUAAAAUGAAGGAGAUAUUAAUCCUGAAAAUGUACAAGUGAUAAUAAUUAGGUGUUUGACCAUGAAAACUAAAAAAAAAUGAAAUUGUUGUUUGGAGUUUUUUCUUUUUUUACCGUGAAUAUAAAUUGAAGUUGUUUUUGACUUUUAUGAGAGAAAUGAAAUUUUCAAAUACAAUUCACAAAAGUGAAAUUACUAGAAUUUCAUGGCCAAACAUAGGGGUGUACAGACUAAACCGUCAAGUCAAACCAAAUCGAUAAAUCAAAUCAAACCGAGAAAAAAAUACGACUUAUGAUUUGGUUUGGUUAGUUUGGCGUUAGAAAAAAAUAUUCGAUCAUUUUUGGUUUGAUUUGGUGUUAACCAAAAAAAAGUCAAACCGAACUCGAAUCAAACGAAAUAACAUAUAUAUAUAUAUAUUAACUUUUUAUACAUAAAAUAUUAAUUAUAAUCUACUUUUUAAAUACUUUUUCAACUAGUAUAGUAAUUUUUAAUAUUUUGAAAGUAGACGUAGAUAUAUAUUCAGAUUUAGGCCUUUAAGUUGUAAUAUUUUUCCAUUAAUUGCUAAUUAAAUGAUCUAAAACCCAAUAUAAACUUAAAACUUAAACUUUUCACUUUUCAUAUUAUUUUUUAGUUUCAAAAGAGUUUUUCGCUCCUCAUUUUUUCAUAAUUAUGAUUUUCAUUAGCACAUGAGUGAAAAUAUAUUUGAUCUAGUCUCCAAUCACAAUAUAAUUGUAAAAAUUAAAGAUUAUGAAAAAAAAAAAAAAAACGAACAAGUCGAAUGAACCGACUAAACCUAAAUCGAAAAAAUCAAUUUUAUGUUGGUUUGAUUUUAUUUAUACUUUUAAUAAACCUACAUGAUUGGUUUGAUUUAUUUUUAAUAAAAAUCAAACCAACUCGUCCUAUUUACACCCCUAGCCAAAUAUCUUUCCAAGUGUUAUCUUUCCAUGAAUUUCUCUCAUAUUCUCUCUUAAACUUUUUUCAUACAUAUAUUUUCCUUUCUUUCCAUAAACUUCUCUCAUAUUGUUGAAAUUCACUCUCUCUUUUUGAUUUUUUUCUUGCACAUAUAAUUUUUGUUCCUUAUUUCUCUGCAAUACAAAUUUUAUUCAAGAAUCAGGUGUUAUACAUAAGUCAACGCGAUUUUCAUGCUUUUAUCUACACUUUUUUCAAUUUUCUUUUUUGCCAAAUAGUGAAUUCUGUCAUAAAUUUUCAUGCCCAGCUGAUACAAAAUCGUUGAUUGAAUUUUUAUUGAAGAAUUAGUAAUACACUAUGGUGCUACCAGACUCAUAGGGUGGGUCGUAGGGUGACCAUAGUGUAUUUACUGACGACCAGUACAAUGAGAUGAUUCAUUCAAUCCUAAUUUAAUGUAGAAGUAAAUGAUAUAGGAUCUUGAUUUAAAGAGAUAAACAUAGGAAAAAUUAUAGAAACUAGCAUUCUUAAGAUUAUAAUUACAAUAAAUAGCAACACUUUUUUAAAAUUACAACUUAUAACGAAAGUAGCAAUAUUUUACCCACCUUUUAGAGAGGAGCGUGUUUCUCCCAUCAGUUUAUAUUUUUCCUUUUUUCACGCAAUAUUCACUUUUCUCUCUCCAAUUAACCGCAUCUUUUUUUUUGUUAAUUUUAGUUUUUAUUUCUCAAUCUGUUGAUAAACAUUGUGCUCCAUAAUAUUUGCAUCUCAUCUUUUCAUAUAAUUUAUAUUUAUUUUUUUUUCGUAUUGCUUUCUUCUUUGUUUUUUUUGUUUUGAUAUUUUGUGAUUUUUUUUUGUGUUUUUUCAGCCAAGGGAUGCUGUUUUCGACGAUGGGUGGGUUGGUGGUUUCGAUUGAACUCGUCGAUUUCAGUAAAUUUUCAACAGAGAGAGGGUUUAUCAGGCGAAUUUCACCGUGACGGUGACCGACAGCAGCAGUAAUGGUGUUUUACCAGAGAGCAUUAGCCGAAACUGAUCACAAGGGUUGAAUUUUAGUCAGUGGUUCGCUGAUUUUGCAGAUCCGGUGAGGGACAGGCUUGAUCAUCGUUUUUAUGAAUUUUCCGGUGAUGUGGUAGCAGCGGGUCAGUAUAUUUCGAUGAGAUUUUUAUAAAAUAUAAUUUUUACAAUAUAGAUAUGUAUUUUUAUUUGUAUUUGUAUUUGUAUUUAUAUUUAUAUUUGGUACUGAUAAGAUUUGUAUUUGUUACAACGUAAAUAUAUAUUUGCAUUUGGUAUUGUAAGAUUUGUAUUUGUUACAGUAUAGAUAUGUAUUUUUUAUUUGUAAUCUUAUAUUUUAUGGAUAAUAUGUUCAUAUAUGUAUUUUUGUCUUUAUAAUGUGAAGAUAUGUAUCUGUUAAAUUUAAGAUAUGUAUUUAUUUUUUAGGGAUUAUAUAAGAUGUAUUUGUUACAGUAUAGAUAUAUAUUUGUAUUUGCAGGGAUUGUAGUUUAUAUAUGAUGACAUAUGCUGAGUGUCUUACUUUUGGUAAAUGUAUUUCAAAUGUUGACUUUGAUUCAGAUCUUUUCACACGAGAUAUGCUUUAAUGUUGUGGCAUUAUGGUUCGGGAAAAGAAGAAAAGAAUGCACAAAGUGAUGAUGAAGAACCAAUGAGGCCUCCUAUGAAAAU
rnacentral:lncRNA from 1 species